rnacentral:rRNA from 1 species
UGCAGUCGACGGUAACGGGCCUUCGGGUGCCGACGAGUGGCGAACGGGUGAGUAWUGCAUCGGAACGUACCUUUCAGUGGGGGAUAACGUAGCGAAAGUUACGCUAAUACCGCAUAUUCUGUGAGCAGGAAAGCAGGGGAUCGCAAGACCUUGCGCUGAUUGAGCGGCCGAUGUCAGAUUAGCUAGUUGGUGAGGUAAAGGCUCACCAAGGCGACGAUCUGUAGCGGGUCUGAGAGGAUGAUCCGCCACACUGGAACUGAGACACGGUCCAGACUCCUACGGGAGGCAGCAGUGGGGAAUUUUGGACAAUGGGGGCAACCCUGAUCCAGCCAUGCCGCGUGAGUGAAGAAGGCCUUCGGGUUGUAAAGCUCUUUCGGCCGGGAAGAAAUCGCAUGGGUUAAUACCCUGUGCGGAUGACGGUACCGGCAUAAGAAGCACCGGCUAACUACGUGCCAGCAGCCGCGGUAAUACGUAGGUGCGAGCGUUAAUCGGAAUUACUGGGCGUAAAGCGUGCGCAGGCGGUUUUGUAAGACAGGCGUGAAAUCCCCGGGCUCAACCUGGGAACUGCGCUUGUGACUGCAAGGCUAGAGUACGGCAGAGGGGGGUGGAAUUCCACGUGUAGCAGUGAAAUGCGUAGAGAUGUGGAGGAACACCAAUGGCGAAGGCAGCCCCCUGGGUCGAUACUGACGCUCAUGCACGAAAGCGUGGGUAGCAAACAGGAUUAGAUACCCUGGUAGUCCACGCCCUAAACGAUGUCAACUAGGUGUUGGGUGGGUAAAACCAUUUAGUACCGUAGCUAACGCGUGAAGUUGACCGCCUGGGGAGUACGGCCGCAAGGUUAAAACUCAAAGGAAUUGACGGGGACCCGCACAAGCGGUGGAUGAUGUGGAUUAAUUCGAUGCAACGCGAAAAACCUUACCUACCCUUGACAUGUCAGAAACUUGGCAGAGAUGCCUUGGUGCCCGAAAGGGAAUCUGAACACAGGUGCUGCAUGGCUGUCGUCAGCUCGUGUCGUGAGAUGUUGGGUUAAGUCCCGCAACGAGCGCAACCCUUGUCGUUAAUUGCCAUCAUUUAGUUGGGCACUUUAACGAGACUGCCGGUGACAAACCGGAGGAAGGUGGGGAUGACGUCAAGUCCUCAUGGCCCUUAUGGGUAGGGCUUCACACGUCAUACAAUGGUCGGUACAGARGGUUGCCAAGCCGCGAGGUGGAGCCAAUCCCAGAAAGCCGAUYGUAGUCCGGAUUGCAGGCUGCAACUCGCCUGCAUGAAGUCGGAAUCGCUAGUAAUCGCG